GUACAUUAAGACAGCAGUGUCCCUGUUCGUCAUACUUGGUGAGUUCAAGGUGGACUGCAAGCAUCGCCAUUUGAGGAUUUGUUGGGGUUUCUUUCCCUCCUGCUUCAGAUAUGGAUGACAUUUCAUCGUCUCACAUGGCAUCAACUUCCAGGAUCCAUGACCAAAGCCAAGGAUGGGAAACUUCUUUCUGCUUGGGAGCUGCCCGGGUACCAAAAAGAGAAGAGUUAAGAGGGGACCAGUCCAGCUGUUAUGAAUAAUUAUGGAGCAGUUCACUCCCAGAGUUCAAAAGCCUUGCAUUAAAUUUCAAAGAUGAUGCCAUCUCUGAAACUUCAGGCUCACAAACAAGAAGAUCACAUACUAACCCACCAGUUUAUUAUUAUUAAUAAUUAAUAUUCUUAUUGAUUGUAUGCUAAUGAUUUCAAUCACAUAAAAAUAGUAACAAGAGAAAACAUAUGUAUUUAUUUUCAAUAUACGAGAGCAAUGAAGAAGAGAAAGAGGUGCUUGCUGAUGGAGGCUACUAAGUAAGAAAUAAGUUUUAUUGGAGUACCAAAAACUUUUGUUCACCCACAAAUAUUUUUCCUGAAUAAUCACAUGUGGGAUCCUGCUUUUAUCCAACAACUCAUGUGCCAUAGCUUUUCCCAAUACUCUUAAUUGGGAGUGGAUUAGUUUGAUACAUGCAUAUUUGUGCUGAUGUCCCCUUAGCUUAGCUGAAGUCAGUGGAUUUCCACAUAAGCUUGGUGGCAAGCAUGCCUUGGCUCACAGCCCUGCAGCCUUGUCAGCUGCACCUAAAUGCACCCAUUCAGAUGGAAAGAGGCACAAGGAACUGAGUAUACAGCACACUGAGAAAAGUUAAAUGUUCUGUCAACAAGAUAUGUGCAGCCCAAACUAAAGUAGAUUUAAAUCACUAGAAAGGCCCCUAUUAAUGCCAAUAGUUUUGAUGGCAUUCACGCUUCUACAGAAACUGCAGCAGGUAAGAAUUUCAUAAUAUCUAUAGGUUUAGCACCACCUAAACUUACAAUUAAUAGUGCUUCCUGAAGGUAACUUUCAUGGUUGAUGAUCUGCCUCAGAAGGAUUUAAAAAACCAAGCUACCAUGUAGAAAAAAAAAUGGAUUAUUGGAUCCCAGCUACCUAAAAUAGAUCCGAUUUCCAAGGCAUCCAAUAUACUCAACUUAACUUUAAAUAUUCGCAGUUACUUGUGGUCCAACACAGGUGUGAACUACCAGUAGAAAACAGGAUUUUUUAUUCAUAAAGGAACUUAAAUUAAAUUCAAUGUAUUUGUUAUUUAUAAUAUUUCUAUGAUCAUAGCCCUUUAAUGUAUUUUAGAAUGUGUGUGUCCAAAAAAGAAUACUUGCAAACAUUACUUAAGCAUUUAUUAAUAAAAAGCAAAUCCUCAAAUUCAUUUUGUGUUUUGUCUGCUCUGAAUGGACAACCAGCUUUGAAAAGCAAGCAAGAGAACUGAGCAAGCCACUUGUGGUAUGAACAUCUGAUGAACAUUUGUUCAUAUUUAUUCAUGCAAGCAUUCUGGAAUUUCUGUCAUGAAUGGUCUUCCAAACACAACGUCAUGCAUAUGAAUGUGCAUGAAAAGCAAAUAAAAAGAUGCAUUAA